rnacentral:sRNA from 1 species
ACUGGGUGUGGUGGCCACACCUGUAAUCCCAGAGACUUGGAGGCUGAGGCAGGAGGAUUGCAAGUUUGAGGACAGCCUUGGCAAUUUAGCAAGACCUUAUCUAAA